UGAGAGGUUAGCCGUGAUGAAAGCAGC
rnacentral:piRNA from 1 species